rnacentral:misc_RNA from 1 species
AAUGACCUCCAUGAACCACAGAAAUUGAACUCAGAAGAGGGGCAGAAGGUUUCAUGUAAACCACGUAAAGAACUCAGAAGACAACAAGUUGCACUGCAUCUUGAUGAUGGUCCUAAUGAAUCACAGAAUAUGGAGCUACAAGACGAACUCAAGGUUCCAGACUCGUUGCAGAAAGAGAAGAAAUUAUCUGCUAAAGUGAAUUCACAGGCAGAGUUGAAAGAGCCAGAAGAAAAACUAAAUACAGAGGAGCUCAAUGUGUCAGAAUCUUCACAGAAAGAAAAGGAAUUUUCUACUGAUGUCAAUUUGCAAGCUGAGUUAAAAGGACAAGGACAAGAAGAAAAACUUAAUCCUGAAGAUCUCAAGGUUUCAGGUAGAACACAUGAAGAAUCCAGAGGACAAGGAAGUGCAUUGGGUCCUAAUGGCAUUCUCGAUGAACCACAGAAUGUGAAGCCAGAUGGUAAGAUCGAGGUUUCACUUUCUUCACAGAAAAUAAAGGCUACAGAAGAGAAAAAGGAGGAAGAGACAAAAGAAGAUGAUCUCAGGAACUCUACCAGAAAUCACAGAGAAGAUGCAAGUCUGCCGCAGACAAGUGAUGAACCUGAUGAUCCUAAGGAGAAAUCUCAUGACAUGAACAUGGAGGAAGAUAAGCAAGAUUCACCCAAGGCUUUGGGCAAUCUCCUUCUUGUUGAAACACAGAAGGGAACAGAGCAAGAUGAUGAGCCAGACUGGAAGCAUUUGUUCAUGAAUGGUAUCGGAAAUAGAGAAAAAACUCUGCUGAGUGAGUAUACUGCAAUUCUUCGAAACUACAAAGAAAUCAAGAAGAGACUUGCCGAAGCAGAAAACAAAAAUGGAGAUGGCCUCUAUGAAACAAUGGUGCGGUUAAAAGAACUGAGGAGUGCUAAUGCAAAGAAGGAUGAACAGAUUAAAAUCUUAAAUCAGAAGCUGAGCCUUCUCCAAACAGGCUUGGGUGAAGAUGAUUUAUCUGAUAAAUCAACCUCGACAGAAUCCCAAAGAUUAGAGAGACAAGAAGUAUAUGAUGUCAAGGCGAUCAUGAUGGACGAGCCAGAAAUUUCACCAAUUGAGAAAAAAUUCCGGAUGAGCAUUGAUGAACUGCUAGGGGAGAACUUAGAUUUCUGGUUAAGAUUCAGUUCUACAUUGUACCAAAUUCAGAAAUUUGAAACUGAAAUCAAAGAUUUACAGUCUGAAUUGUUGAAACUUGAGGAAAAAAAGAAGCAAGAUGGUAACACAACUGCAAAGUAUUCUCUGAAAUCAGAUGCAAAACCAUUAUACAAGCACCUACGAGAGAUUCACAUUGAAUUAGCGGUCUGGUUGGAAAAAAGUGUGCUACUGAAAGAUGACCUGAAGAGCAGAUUCUCAUCCUUGUGUGACAUUCAAGAAGAAAUAUCUGCUGCUUUGAAGGAGAGCGCUGAAGAUGAUGACUUCAAGUUUACGAGCUACCAAGCUGCAAAGUUCCAAGGCGAGAUUUUGAACAUGAAACAAGAGAAUAACAAGGUUGCAGAUGAAUUGCAGGCUGGCUUGGAUCAUGUUACUACACUCCAGUUAGAAGUUGAAAACACUCUGGCAAAGUUGAAUGAGGAAUUCAAACUUGCUGGAUCAAAGAAUCACCAAAAUAUCCAACUGGAACGCUCAGACAGCCGAAAUCGAGUUCCUUUGAGGUCAUUUAUCUUUGGUGCAAAACCAAAAAAGCAAAAGCAUUCAAUCUUCUCUUGCGUCCACCCUGUACUGCAAAGGAAAUACAAUGGUUUCAAGGCAGGGAUUAAUGUUUGAAUUGAUUGCUUUAG